CUUUCCUAGACCUGAUGAUAUAAUUUUGAGUAGAUCUAGAUCCGGAUCUAUAAGUUUGUUUAUUACUAGGUACAGAAGAGGCUCCAGUUCCAGAAAGUUUCCCAAGUUCUGCAGCAUGCCACCUGUGGGAGUGUUAGUAAUUAUGUCUCCCACCACACAGUGGUGUGGGAGAAGUAUUGAUUUACACCUGCCUGUGAGUGUGUCUGUCUGUCACAAAUCUUGUCCGCACUCAAAAGUCAAACAUUUCUCAUGCGAUCUUCACCAAACUUGAACAAAAUGUGUUUGACCAUAAGUCCUUGGCCAAGUUCGAUAACCAGCCAUGAGCCCAACCCUGCAACACACCAGUCAGCCUAUACCCCCUGUCCACCCCACCAGCCUCCACCCAUGCACACAGCAAUGACCAGCCCAUUAUACAUUAUAGCAAACAUCCUCAAAAUUUGUACAUGCAUGUAUUUAAUGUGUCCCCUCAGUCGCUGUUGUUAUGACUACCUUGUAGCCUGGUGGUAUAGUGCUCACUUUGAGUGUGGGAGGUUGUGCCCUUGACUUAGUAAAAAAUGUGCAUAUAAAGACAUGGAAGUUAUGUCGCACAUUGGCAUUGUCUAUUAAAAGAGUUUUCUGAAAUUAAAUUGUGUUUUUAAAUUCAUUGGCAUCUAAGGAAAAAGUCAUUGCAGUGUCUGUUGAAGGAAUAUUUUUUUAGCUCAUCUGAUUUUUUGAAAAAAAAUGAUGAGUUAUUGUCAUCACUUGAGUGGUUGUCGGCGUCGGUGUUGCCUGGUUAAGUUUUAUGUUUAGGUCAGCUUUUCUCCUAAACUAUCAAAGCUAUUGCUUUGAAACUUGGAAUACUUGUUCACCAUCAUAAGCUGACCUGUAUAGCAAGAAACAUAACUCCAUCUUGCUUUUUGCAAGAUUUAUGGCCCCUUUUGUACUUAGAAAAUAUCAGAUUUCUUGGUUAAGUUUUAUGUUUAGGUCAACUUUUCUCCUAAACUAUCAAAGCUAUUGCUUUGAAACUUGGAAUACUUGUUCACCAUCAUAAGCAGACCCUGUACAUCAAGAAACAUAACUCCAUCUUGCCUUUUGCAAGAUUUAUUGCCCCUUUUGGACUUAGAAAAUCAGUUUUCUUGGUUAAGUUUUAUGUUUAGGUCAGCUUUUAUCCUAAACUAUCAAAGCUAUUGCUUUAAGACUUGCAACACUUGUUCACCAUCAUAAGUUGACCCUGUACAGCAAGAAACAUAACUCCAUCCUGCUUUUUGCAAGAUUUAUGGCCCCUUUUGGACUUAGAAAAUAUCAGAUUUCUUGGUUAAGUUUUAUGUUUAGGUCAACUUUUUCUCUUAAACUAUCAAAGCUAUUGCUUUGAAACUUGCAACACUUGUUCACCAUCAUAAGCUGACCCUGUACAGCAAGCAACAUAACUCCAUCCUGCUUUUUGCAAUAAUUAUUGCCCCUUUUGGACUUAGAAAAUCAUUUUCUUGGUUGAGUAUUAUGUUUAAGUCAACUUUUCUCAUAAACUAUCAAAGCUAUUGCUUUAAAACUUGCAACAGUUUUUCACCAUCAUAAGUGGACACUGUACAUCAAGAAACAUAACUCUGUCCUGCUUUUUGCAAGAAUGAUGGCCCUUUUUAGACUUAGAAAAUCAUGGGUAGGACAAUAGUUCUAUUACACAAAAAAAAUCAGAUGAGCGUCAGCACCCGCAAGGCGGUGCUCUUGUUUAUAAAAUACAACGGUAAGGUCUGAAAGUUGAAAUAAAGUUUAAAGAUGAAGUGGCAAUGUAAAUGAGUUGAAUGAAUGCAAGACCUAAUCUUAAAUUUCCUAAACUUUAAAUCCAUUACAGCCAACUUUUUACAUAACAGAAAUAUAAGACAGUUGUUAUUAGAUAACAGAAGGUAUUUUGUUAAGUUCAAUAGUGGACAAAAUUGUUCCAAAAAUCACCACAGUUACAGCCCUGGAAUGAGCAUAAAUUGUCAUAAUUCAUAAUGUUACCACAUUCCUGAAACAAAACUGAAUGUCAUAGAAUGUAUGUGACCACAAGAUAUUGAGCAAGAUCAUUUUGUAAAACCAGAGUUAUGGUAAGUUUCCAUACUUCAUAUUGUUAAGACAUUAACAGCCACAUUUCUUGAGCAAUUUGUUAUGCUAGCUAUAUAAAAUAACUGAUAAUGAUUCACUGUGCUGUAGUAAAACAAGAGUUAUUGCCCAUGAACAAUCGUAUAGAACAUAAUACAGAAUAAGAGCAGCUACAAAACAAAUAAUUGGCAAGAUUGCUCAAGUAACAUAAUGAGAUAUGGCCGUUGAAUAUGUCUUAAUAGUGUAAUUUCACAGUGUUCACUUUAUAUAAGCAAUUUUUACUGUCCUAUAAUACAAAACCAAAUAAGGUUAUUUUCCUCCCAUAGGCAGAUAAAGAAAGUGGACUAAGUAAUCGUCUUAACAUAUGGGUCACUAGGUCAAAUAAUAAAAAUCCUUGUUAGCACCACAGAGGAGACAUCUUCUACCCAUCUUACAUAAAGCCUGGCAGAAGUUAAGUCCAUAUACAACCUUGGUUAUUUUGGGUAAAAAAGUUACUGGGUAUAAAUCAUAGAAGACCCAUGUUAGCGCUGUAGAAGAGAUAUUUAUAUUUCUGCCCCUUUCAGAGAGUUUGCUUUUAACAAAUUAGGGUCAAGAUAGAAACUUAAACACUUCAGGUUUUAAAGUAGGUCACUAGUCAACUUAAAGCUAAACUAGGUCAUCUGAUGUUAGAAGUUACCAUAAUUAUUAUCUAUCUUAUUUAACCUGUGUAAAACCUGUCAGAAUGUUAUUUAUUGAGAAGGAAGUUCAGUAAGAAACUAAAUCAUUUAAGGUCAAAAGAAAGAUCACAGAAAAACCUUGGUUACACUAAAAAAAGAUACCUGUACCAGAUGUAGAACUUUGUCAAGCAAUCUAGCACUAUUUUGACCCUUUUAUUUUUAGCUCAGGGUGAGCUAUUCUGAUCACUCACGGUCCGGCGUCCGGCGUCCCUUGUCCGUCCGUAAACUUUUACUUUAAACGACAUCUCCUCAUAAGCCACUAGGCCAAUUUCAUCCAAACUUCACAGGAAUUUUCCUUGGGUGAAGCUCUACAAAAAUUGUUCAAAGAAUUAAAUUCCUUGCAGAACUCUGGUUGCCAUUGCAACUGAAAGGAAAAACUUUAAAAAUCUUCUUCUCAAAAACCAGAAGCCCGAGAGCUUAGAUAUUUGGUGUGAAGCAUUGCCUAGUGGACCUCUACCAAAUUUAUUCAAAUCAUGACCCCGGGGUCUCUUGAUUUUACAUAGGAAAGUCUUAAAAAAUCUUCUUCUCAAAAACCAGAAGCCCUAGAGCUUAGAUAUUUGACAUGUAGCAUUGCCUAGUGGACCUCUACUAAAAUUGGUCAAAUCGUGACCCUGGGGUCAAAAUUGACCCCACCCCAGGGGGCACUUGAUUUUACAUAGGAAAAUCUUCAAAAUUUUUUUAAAAAUAAACCAGAAGGCCUAGAGCUUAGAUAUUUCACAUGUAGCAUUGCCUAGUGGACCUCUACAAAAUUUGUUCAAAUCAUCACCCCCGCCCCAGGGGUCACUUGAUUUUACAUAGGAAAAUCUUCAAAAAUUUUCUAAACAUAAACCAGAAGGCCUAGAUCUUAAGAUAUUUGACAUGUAGCAUUGCCUAGUAGACUUCUACAAAAAAAUUUCAAAUCAUGACCCCCGGGGUCAAACUGACCCCGCCCCAUGGGGUUAAUUGAUUGUACAUAGAAAAAUCUUCAAAAUUUUCUAAAAAUAAACUAGAAGGCCUAGAGCUUAAAUUUUUCACAUGUAGCAUUGCCUAGUGGACCUCUACAAAAUUUAUUCAAAUCAUGACCCCCGGGGUCAAAAUUGAUCCCGCCCGAGGGUCACUUCAUUUUACAUAGGAAAAUCUUCAAAAAUUUUCUAAAAAUAAACCAGAAGGUCUAGAGCUUAGAUAUUUCACAUGUAGCAUUGCCUAGUGGACCUCUACAAAAUUUGUUCAAAUCAUGACUUCCAGUGUCAAAAUUGACCCCGCCCGAGGGGUCACUUGAUUUUUUUUACAUAGGAAAAUCUUCAAAAAAUUUCUUAAAAUAAACCAGAAGGCCUAGAUCUUAGAUAUUUGACAUGUAGCAUUGCCUAGUAGACUUCUACAAAAUUUGUCCAAAUCAUGACCCCCGGGGUCAAAUUGGCCCCGCCUCAUGGGGUUACUUGAUUGUACAUAGAAGAAUCUUCAAAAUUUUCUAAAAAUAAACCAGAAGGCCUAGAGCUUAGAUAUUUGACAUGUAGCAUUGCCUUAGUCUAAGUGGACCUCUACAAAAUUUGUUAAAAUCUUGACCCCCCAGGGUCAAAUUGACCCCGCACCAGGGGUUACUUGAUUGUACAAAGGGAAAUCUUCAUAAAUUUGCUAAAAAUAAACCAGAAGGCCUAAAUCUUAGAUAUUUGAUAUGUAACAUUGCCUAGUAGACUUGUUCAAAUCAUGACCCCCGAGGUAAAAUUGGUCCCGCCCCAGUGGUUACUUGAUUGUACAUCGGAAAAUCUUUAAAAAAAUUUCUAAAAAUCAUCAGUUUGACAUUUGAAACAUGUAGCUCAUAUUACUCAGGUGAGCGAUCCAGGGUCAUCAUGACCCUCUUGUUUGUAGAAUUUAAUCAAAAGUAAUUUUGGUGUAAGUUUCAGAUUAAAGCAUUUUUAGCUCGACUAUUCAUAGAAUAGUGAGCUAUUGCACUCGCCCAUGCGUCGGCGUCGGCGUCGGCGUCUGCGUCCGCGUCCGCGUCCCGAUUUUGGUUAAGGUUUUGUAUGUAAGCUGGUAUCUCAGUAACCACUUGUGGGAAUGGAUUGAAACUUCACACACUUAUUCACUGUGACAAACUGACUUACAUGGCACAGGUUCCAUAACUCUAUUUUGCUUUUUUACAAAAUUAUGCCCCUUUUUCGACUUAGAAAUUUUUGGUUAAGGUUUUGUAUGUAAGCUGGUAACUCAGUAACCACUUGUGGGAAUGGAUUGAAACUUCACACACUUAUUCACUGUGAUGAACUGAUCUACAUUUCACAGGUUCCAUAACUCUAUUUUGCUUUUUUACAAAAUUAUGCCCCUUUUUCGACUUAGAAAUUUUUGGUUAAGGUUUUGUAUGUAAGCUGGUAUCUCAGUACUUACUAAUGGAAUGGAUUGAAACUUCACAUACUUGUUCACUAUCAUGAUCUGACAUGCACUAAGCAAGUCCCAUAACUCUACUCUCUUUUUUUUCAAAAUUAUGCCCCUUUUUCGACUUAGCAGUUUUUGGUUAAAUUUUUGUAUGUAAUCUGAUAUCUCAGUAUCCACUAAUUAGAAUGGAUUGAAACUUCACACACUUGUUCACUGUCAUGAUCUAACAUGCACUGUGAAGUCCCCAUAACUCUACUUGGCAUUUUUACAAAAUUAUGCCCCUUUGACUUAGCAGUCUUUUGUUAAGUUUUUGUAUGUAAGCUGGUAUCUCAGUAUCCACAAAUUGGAAAGGAUUGAAACUUCACACACUUGUUCACUGUCAUGAUACGACAUGCAGUACAGAGGUUCAAUACCUCUACUUUGCAUUUUACAAAAUUAUGCCCCUUUUUCAACUUUUGUAUUCAUUCAAUUGACAAGGCUGUUGAAUAGUCGAGCGUUGCUGUCCUCCGACAGCUCUUGUUAUACUUGAUAUUAUAUUAAAUUAUGGUUAGGGUAGGAAGUUUAGAAGGGUAGGAGUGAGCAUUGUUUUGUUGUUUUCUUACAUACUGCUGAGGAGGAGAUGCUGCUUCAAAAGAUUGGCAGAAUUGUUUUUUGUUACAGCUGCCAAGACCUGACAGAUCCCUUUACUAUUGAUUGAGACAUGCUAUCGACUGCCAUCGAGGAUAAUCCGGUGUCUGUAUAUCCUUAAGAUGCAGAUGUUGGGAUCAACUUGUCUACAAUUCUGUGCCGGCAGUGUUUAGAUGAAAGUUGUUCCUCUUUGUUUUGAGAGAUGGGAAUCAGGGAUUGUGAGGAUUUUAUUUAUUUCAGGUCCACACCCUGCCAAUGACAACUGACUGUAUGUCCCGUCCAUACAUACAGCUGUCAGGAUUUUCUUUCAGCAUCAAGACCUGCCUAGGAAGACAUCUAUGAGGAAGGCAGGAUUUCUUCUUUUCCAGGUUCAAGGCCUGCCUAUAAGGCUGCUGAACAUACAAAUAUGGCAGGUUAUUUCUUUCAGAUUUCAAGGCCUGGCAGAUCCCUUAACUGUUGAUCAAGACAGCUACCCUACCACCGAGGACCCGGUGCCUAUAUGUCCGCAAGAUGGAAGGAAGUGUUUGGGGUAACUAUUUUACAAUUCUGUGCCAAUUCUGUGCCAGCAGAUUGCUAGAUGAUAGUUGUUCCUUUGUUGAGUGAGACGGAAAUCAGGGAUUGCAAGGAUUUCUUAUUCAUUUCAGGUCCAUACCCUGCCUAUGUCUUCUAAUGUGUGUUUUACUUGGACGGAACAUACAUUGGGCAGGUUUUGUAUUUUUUUCAGGUUCAGGGCCUGCCAGGAAAGGGCAGGAUUUUUUCUCUUUCAGAUUUCCUGUGAAUUUUUACCUUCCAUUACCAGGACAGGCUAGACUGUUAGAUUUUUUUUUUGAUGUAGCUCACUUCUGCAGCAUUAAAUUCUUGCCUUAGUAAAGCAAACUUUCUUGACAUGAAAUAAUUUGGCAGAUUUGUUUCCUGUUUUGGCUCAUUUUUUAUUACAGCUUGACAGCUAGAGACUUGAAUAUUUCCAUGGAAAUGUGAAAUGGUGCCAGUCCUUGUGUAGAGAUCCUGAGCCAUUGUUUCCUUGGAAACGUGAAAUGGUUGUUUCAGCACUAACUAAUGAAUUGGCUUUCAACAGCAGUAUUCCAUGUAGAGUGUUUGAGAGACUGCUCUACAUAACAUAUUCACAGAACUGGGAACUGAUGGGUGGACACUUCUGGAUCAAACAGUAAAUUGAGGAUGAGAUAGAUUUAGAGCUUGUUGUUGCUGCUGAUGAGGCAACACAGAAGGAAUCUCCGAAGAAAGAGAUACAGGACCCAAAACCGAACUUAUAGACAUUACUGCAGAGGCAAGCAAAGUUCCUGGAGAAUUGUAGGGAAGACAAGACUGUUCAGUAUUUGGGGGCUUUAAGCCAGUUGUGUCACAGCUCAACUGAUCUCAGCCAUGUAUCAUGUAUAGAUAUAUACCUGAGGAUAUGGAAGGUUCUGUCUGAAAAACAACAGAGUUAGUUCCCUUUAUGUGUAGUGGAAGCCAUGUUGUUUAGAAGAACUGUCAUCCCAGUGCAAUACACACAUUUGUGGAGAGUCUAGCCCUCUUGUGUUCCACCAGUACCUAUCAGACCAAGUAUACUCAAGACUUGAAGUUUAGUUGUCUACCUGGCACAGAUACCAAGAUUACAAAUGACAUUAUAAAUGGAGCCCCCAGAGAUAUACAAGUGAUACUCGGUACGAAAAUACAAAGUUCUGACAGUCAAGAAAAGUAAAGACACAGAUUGCAACGUACAGAUUACAGAGUACAGAUUACAGUGUACAGAGUACAGUGUACAGAUUACAGAGUACAGAUUACAGUGUACAGAUUACAGUGUACAGAUUGCAGUCAAGUCACAGGGUAACCAACAGACAGUUUAACCAAGACCCAGCUUAGGCUUGUCUUGGUAACUGGAAGACAGUUUAUCAAGGGAUAGGUCUUCAACUACCUACUUGCAGAGGAUGUUCUACCGCCUGUUUUGCUCGUAAAGGACUUUAAAGAUGAAAGAUGAUGGAGUCAGCGGGUUGGGUGUCAGCAUUUCAAGACAUAUGUAUGCAAGUAGUGGUCCAGAGCUCCUCAGUCCCAUUGCAAUUUUACUCCUCACUAGAAGUAAGUUAUUUGAUGUUGUUUAAGAAUCUGGUGAUGUUGAAGUUGUAUUUAGAGAUAUCUGGAGUAAUUUUGGUAUUGAAAGUAAACUACUCAUUUUAAGAAUGCAAUUCCCAUGAAAUAUGAAGUUUGUGGGUUAGGAAAUAUUUAAAACCUUAUAUUAAUGGACGUAAAUCAGAUUGAAAUGUAUAUAGAUUGGAUAAGUUUUUGUGUGCCCCCCCCCCCCCCCCCCCCCCCAUGACUGGUGGGGGCAUAUAGAUUUGGUCUUAUCCGUCUGUCCGAAGUUCGUGAUGCGCCUAGCUCAAAAAGUAUUUGAUACAAAUUGGUGAAACCUUGCAUGAGUGUUUAUCAUGAUAUGAACUUGGGCACCUCCUAUUUUUCGUCUGGCUCCGCCCCCUAUUUUCAGGGUUAUGGCCCCUGAAAUAGUCAGAAAUGCAUAUUUUUCACCUUGUGACAUGCCUAGCUCAAAAAGUAUUUGAUAUAGAUUCAUGAAACCUUGCAUGAGUCUUGAUUAUGAUAUGAACUUGUGCACCUCAUAUUUUUCAUCUGGCUCUGCCCCCUAUUUUCAGAGUUGUGGCCCCUGAAAUAGUAAAAAAUGCACAUUUUCACCUUGUGACACGUCUAGCUCAAAACGUGUUUGAUAUAGAUUCAUGAAGCUUUGCGUGAGUCUUAAUCAUGAUAUGAACUUGUGCACCUGCAAUUUUUCAUUUGGGUCCGCCCCCAAUUUUUAGAGUUAUGGCCCCUGAAAUAGUCAAAAAUGCACAUUUUCACCUUGUGACGCACCUAGCGCAAAAAGUAUUUAAUAUAAAUGAUUAAAAACUUGCAUAAGUCUUUAUCAUGAUGUAAUCUUGCAUACAUCUAAUUUUUUGGCUUGCUCCACCCCCUAUUUUUAAAUUUAUGGUCCCUGAAAUAAUAAAAAAAUGCACUUUUUCACCUAAUUAUGUGCCAAGCUCAAAAAGUAUCAGAUGUAAAUUCAGGAAACCUUGCUGGAGUCUUUAUCAUGAUGUGACCUUGCACACUUGGCAUUCCUCUUGAGAAUCUUAGCUCUUAUUACAGAGUUAUGGCCCUUGAAGUAGCCAAAAUAGUGGAUUUAUUGUUUGUGAUGCCCAUAGCUCAAGAAGUAUAGGGCCUAGAAUAAUAAAUCCUUUUCAUAAAAUGAUUGUUGAGGCUAUACCCCAUUAAGACUGCAAAUAUUUGAAUUAUUCGCCCUCAUUCAAAUGUGACAAAUGUACCAGUGGGGGCACACCCUGUGUCCUACAGACACAUUCUAGUUCUACUGAAGCUUGGUCCAUAUUUUGCCAUGUUUGUACUGGUACAGAAUCCAGGAACACUGGCUAAGUUCACUGCCCGUCGUUAAACAACUGAAAUGUUGAAAAAAUGGCGUUAAACCCAAAACAAACAAAUAUUCACCAUCAUGAGAUGGAGUGUCAUGGACAAGAACUUGGUCCCUAGGUCUAAGGUCAAUGUCACACAAAGAGGUCAAAGGUCAGAUUCAAGAAUUGCUUUGUCCGGAGUAUUUCUUCUUCAUGCAUGGAGGGAUUUUGAUGUAACUUUGCACAUUUGUUCACCAUCUGGGCAAGAACCAGGUCCCUAGGUCCAAGGUCAAGGUCACACUUAGAGGUCAAAGGUCAUUACUUUUUUUAUGCCCCCGAAGGGAGGCAUAUAGUUUUUGAACCGUCAGUCUGUCGAUCUGUCCGCAAUUUUCGUGUCCGGUCCAUAUCUUUGUCAUCCAUGGAUGGAUUUUCAAAUAACUUGGCAUGAAUAUGUACCACAGUAAGACGACGUGUCGCGCGCAAGACCCAGGUCCGUAGCUCAAAGGUCAAGGUCACACUUAGACGUUAAAGGUCAUUUUUCAUGCUAGUGCAUUCGUGUCCGGUCCAUAUCUUUGUCAUCCAUGGAUGGAUGUUCAAAUAACUUGGCGUGAAUGUGUACAACAGUAAGACGACGUGUCGCGCGCAAGAUCCAGGUCUGUAGCUCAAAGGUCAAGGUCACACUUAGACGUUAAAGUCAUUUUUCAUGAUAGUGCAUUCGUGUCCGGUCCAUAUCUUUGUCAUCCAUGGAUGGAUUUUCAAAUAACUUGGCAUGAAUGUGUACCACAGUAAGAUGACAUGUCGCGCGCAAGACCCAGGUCCGUAGCUCAAAGGUCAAGGUCACACUUAGACAUUAAAGGUCAUAUUUCAUGAUAGUGCAUUGAUGGGCGUGUUCGGUCCAUAUCUUUGUCAUUCAUACAUGGAUUUUAAAAUUAUUGGGCAUGAAUGUUUACCACAGUAAGACGACGUGUCGCGCGCAAGACCCAGGUCCGUAGGUCAAAGCUCCUAAACUCUAACACGGCCAUAACUAUUCAUUCAAAGUGUCAUCGGGGGCAUGUGUCAUCCUAAGGAGACAGCUCUUGUUAUGUCUCCCACCAUAUAGUGGUGUGGGAGACAUAUUGAUUAACUCCAGUCUGUGUGUGUGUGUGUGUGUGUGUGUCUGUCUGUGUGUCUGUCACAAAGUUUGUCCGCACUCUUAGUCGAACAUUCCUCAUCCGAUCUUCACCAAACUUCAACAAAAUGUGUCUGCCAAUAAGUGCUCAGCCAAGUUCGAUAACUAGCCAAAUCGGCCCACAGGCCCUUUGGAAUUAUGGCCCUUGAAUUACCGAAAAAUGCUCAGAUUUUAGGUGCAUUACUGGAGCCAAAAGGACCCCUAUACUACUCAUGAGUAGUGUAGGGGUCCUUUUGGCAUGAGUAGUACAGGGGUCCUUUUGGCUCCAGGAAUGCGCAUGCAGUCUAUAGGAGUCCUUUUGACUUGAUGAAUGUGAAUGCGCUCUAGUAGGGCAAGUUCAAUAAUGAGCCAAAUCGGUCCAGGCACUUUGAAGUUAUGGCCCUUGAAUUACCGAAAAUCGGCCUUUUUACUCUUGUCCAUGCUCUAAGUCGAACAUUUCUCAUCCGAUCAUCACCAAACUUUAACUAAAUGUGUUUGACCAUAGGUCCGCAGCCAAGUUCGAUAACUAGCCAAAUCGACCCAGGUACUUUGGAAUUACCGAAAAUUGGCCUUUUUAUUCUCGUCCGCGCUAUAAGUCCAACAUUUCUCACCCGAUCUUCACCAAACCUAAACAAAAUGUUUUUUACCAUAACUCCUUGACCAGGUUCAUUAACUAGCCAAAUGGCCCGAGGCACUCCAGAAUUAUGGCCCUUGAAUUACCCAAAAUCGGCCUUUUUGUGCUUAAGGGUAUAUUUGUAGUGAGUAAACAGUAUAUAAAGACUGACUUGCUUUUAAGAUGAUUAGGCAGUUGUGGGAGACAUGCGCUUUUCUCAAAAGCAACUCUAGUUUUUUUUUUCAAUUUUUCAAAACUUCCAUGAAUAUUUAUCAAUAACCCCAUCCCUAAGUCACCAUCCAUGUCCCAGUCUUGAUUGUGCUUCCUUAAGGACUGCCAUUAUUUUAAGUUAAAGAAAUUAUUUGCUUCUUAGUAACAUCUUUAACUUUUUGCUGGAUAUAUUUCUUUGCCAUUCCUCAACACAAAUUCUUUGGUGUUAUUUAAAGACUUUCUUUUGAUUAUGAAUCUUUAGGUCCCUUUAAAAUCUUUGGUUUCAUAUUUCUUUGAAUAUUCAACAAUUGUGUUCCAUUAAAAUCUUUGGGUUCAUUGAUUUAAAAAAAAAUCUUUCUUCUAAUUCUAAAGUUUUAGCUAACUUUAAAUGCUUCGGUGUCAUUAAAAUUUUUUUCUUUAAUUAUGAAUAUUUGUGUCACUUUUAAAACUUACAUUUCAGAAUCUAAUUUAAAAUCUUUGGCUCACUAAUAAUUCUUUGUUGCCUUUAAAGUAUUUGGGGCCCUUUAAAAACUUUUAUUUCUUUAAACUUCUUUCUUUUAAUUAUAAAUUUUGGUCCCUUUAAAAUCUUUGGCUUCGAAAAUCUUCUAAUUUGGAAUUUUUUA